CCCAAAUUUUGGGGGUCUCAGCCCAUCCCCUCCCCCCAGAUCAACGUCCUGUACAACCGGAUCAGCCACGCCCAGAAAUUCAAGAAGGUCACCAAAGGCCGCGUGGGCGGGCGCUGGAAGUGACCCCGCCCCCCGUGACGUCACCGCGCCGCGUCACGCCAAUAAAACCCGUUACGUCACCGCGCAAA